rnacentral:rRNA from 1 species
UACGUAGGGGGCUAGCGUUAUCCGGAAUUACUGGGCGUAAGGGGUGCGUAGGUGGUUUCUUAAGUCAGAGGUGAAAGGCUACGGCUCAACCGUAGUAAGCCUUUGAGACUGGGGAACUUGAGUGCAGGAGAGGAGAGUGGAAUUCCUAGUGUAGCGGUGAAAUGCGUAGAUAUUAGGAGGAACACCAGUUGCGAAGGCGGCUCUCUGGACUGUAACUGACACUGAGGCACGAAAGCGUGGGGAGCAAACAGG